rnacentral:sRNA from 1 species
UUAGUGUUUGGGAGUCAAAUAUGUCUAGAUAUCAUGUGUAUGUUUGAGUAUAUGAACUAGAAUCGCAACCGGAUCUUAAAAGCGAAAGACGUGUUUCCUUGUUAGAAGAUGCAUAUCCAAAGACUAAUACGGACUUCGGCUACACCAUCAAAUCUAUGAGAAGCAAGAAGAAGCUUGGUUAGUGUUUUGGAUUCAUAUAU